CCUACGGGUGGCUGCAGUGGGGAAUAUUGGACAAUGGGCGAAAGCCUGAUCCAGCCAUGCCGCGUGUGUGAAGAAGGCCUUCGGGUUGUAAAGCACUUUCAGUGGGGAAGAAAGCCUUGGGGCUAAUACCCUCGAGGAAGGACAUCACCCACAGAAGAAGCACCGGCUAACUCCGUGCCAGCAGCCGCGGUAAUACGGAGGGUGCGAGCGUUAAUCGGAAUUACUGGGCGUAAAGCGCGCGUAGGCGGUCUGAUAAGCCGGUUGUGAAAGCCCCGGGCUCAACCUGGGAACGGCAUCCGGAACUGUCAGGCUAGAGUGCAGGAGAGGAAGGUAGAAUUCCCGGUGUAGCGGUGAAAUGCGUAGAGAUUGGGAGGAAUACCAGUGGCGAAGGCGGCCUUCUGGACUGACACUGACGCUGAGGUGCGAAAGCGUGGGUAGCAAACAGGAUUAGAUACCCGAGUGUC
rnacentral:rRNA from 1 species